AUGAGAAAUAGAGGUUCUAAAUCCUAAUGGAUGUCCUAUGUGUCGGCGUCAAUGAGAAGGUGUAAUGAAAAUUGUGGUUUACUCACUUUAUGGGUAUGAAACAAAUCUUAGGUUCCAAAUAUUCAAAUGAACUUUGGAUCUUACAUGAUUCAAACCCAAGUAAACCACUAUCAAGCUUUCAAAAAGUCAACACACCUAUUGACUGAAUUCACAAUUCCUAUUGCACCUUCUUCAUUGACGCCAGCACAUUGGACAUACGAAACCAAAUCCUUGAAGUUGUUAUUUGCACCUCUGCAUGAUAAAGAAAACCUACUCCUCCCAAUAAUUCUUUUUGUUAUGUUUUCAUCACCUAGCGAGGAAGUUCAUGUAGGAAACAUGAACCUAACACUUCACAUCACAUGGCAAAGGAAUAAAGGUCUCUUGGCAAUGCAACUUGAAAUUUUGUUUGUUCAUU